GUCGUCGGUGGUGCAAUGGAUAAAGCAUGUGCCUCCGGCGGAUUGGGGAAAUACGGGUUCGAGUCCCGUCUGACACA